rnacentral:lncRNA from 1 species
UAGGCUUUCUACUCAGCUGAGUUGGAAUGAUCUGUUGCCAUUGGGCUUAUCAUUCCAAGCUUGUGAAAUGGCUAGACACUACCAGCCAUUUAUUUGAAUUUUGGGGAAGAAGACUAUUAAAGCCAAAGACAAAAGGCUGAAGGGAGCCUCUAUCUGGGAUAUGCUGUUAUUUUGGAAGAGGACAGAAGCAAGAACCCAACCAAACCAU